GAUGAACGCUGGCGGCGUGCCUAAUACAUGCAAGUCGAGCGAACAGACGAGGAGCUUGCUCCUCUGACGUUAGCGGCGGACGGGUGAGUAACACGUGGAUAACCUACCUAUAAGACUGGGAUAACUUCGGGAAACCGGAGCUAAUACCGGAUAAUAUAUUGAACCGCAUGGUUCAAUAGUGAAAGACGGUUUUGCUGUCACUUAUAGAUGGAUCCGCGCCGCAUUAUCUAGUUGGUAAGGUAACGGCUUACCAAGGCAACGAUGCGUAGCCGACCUGAGAGGGUGAUCGGCCACACUGGAACUGGGACACGGUCCAGACUCCUACGGGAGGCAGCAGUAGGGAAUCUUCCGCAAUGGGCGAAAGCCUGACGGAGCAACGCCGCGUGAGUGAUGAAGGUCUUCGGAUCGUAAAACUCUGUUAUUAGGGAAGAACAAAUGUGUAAGUAACUAUGCACGUCUUGACGGUACCUAAUCAGAAAGCCACGGCUAACUACGUG
rnacentral:rRNA from 1 species